rnacentral:rRNA from 1 species
AACGUAGGGGGCGAGCGUUGCCCGGAUUCACUGGGCGUAAAGCGGGUGUAGGCGGUUCCUUAAGUCGGAUGUGAAAUCCUACGGCUCAACCGUGGAACUGCAUCCGAUACUGGGGAACUUGAGGACGGUAGAGGUCGGUGGAAUAUCCGGUGUACCGGUGAAAUGGGCAGAUAUCGGAUAGAACACCAGUGGCGAAGGCGGCCGACUGGGCCGUUCCUGACGCUGAGACCCGAAAGCUAGGGUAGCGAACCGG